rnacentral:rRNA from 1 species
UGGGGAAUCUUGCGCAAUGGGCGAAAGCCUGACGCAGCGACGCCGCGUGAGUGAUGAAGGCCUUCGGGUUGUAAAGCUCUGUGGAGGGGGACGAAUAAGUGGUGGCUAACAUCCACCAUGAUGACGGUACCCCUUUAGCAAGCACCGGCUAACUCUGUGCCAGCAGCCGCGGUAAGACAGAGGGUGCAAACGUUGUUCGGAAUUACUGGGCGUAAAGCGCGUGUAGGCUGCUUGGAAAGUCGGAUGUGAAAGCCCUGGGCUUAACCCAGGAAGUGCACUCGAAACUUCCGAGCUUGAGUUCUGGAGAGGGUGGCGGAAUUCUCGGUGUAGAGGUGAAAUUCGGAGAUAUCGAGAGGAACACCGGUGGCGAAGGCGGCUACCUGGACAGAAACUGACGCUGAGACGCGAAAGCGUGGGGAGCAAA